CUUUUUGAUCUUUUUUCCCUUCUCCUUGGGGUCAAAGAAGCAAUGCAUAUUUGUGAUUCAAGCUUCCAUUAUUACUGGACUUUUCUCUUUUCUUCUUUAUGUCUUUGUAUAAGCUGAUCUGUUUUCCCUUGAACUCAUCAGUUUAAAACUUUAAUAAUUUUUAAACUAAAUUCAGCAAUGAUUGCCAACACAUACUAAUACCCUACUGGCUUUCCAACUACUUCACCUAGAGUUCCAGGCUUGAUGGAUGUGAAAUCUUCCUCCCAGGUUAUUGCGUGUGUUGCAGUUACCUAACAGGAGUCACCAUUUUCCUGGCCUCUAACAUCAGUUUCCUAGCUACUCGUCAUGUGGUUUCUAAGUCAAUGCCCUCAUUUUGGUUUUCAUUAUGAUAAUACUCCAUUUCAAGGAAUCAACUUCCACACCAAGAUGACAGAUGCUGCCUGUUGUAACAAAACUCCCUAUUUCUCAGUGGUUUAGCAUAUUAAGAGUUUGGUCCUCUCCCAUGAUUGGCAGGGGGAGGGGAGAUACAGGACUGUGCUCUAGGUGGUUAAGCAGGAACUCAAGAACUUCAUUCUUUGUCACUGCCAUAUUCAACAUGUGGCUUCCAAGCUCACUGCUGAAGGAGGAGAGAAGACCCAUCGUCUCAGACUGCAGUUUUUUGUCUGUUGUCAGAAGGCUGUACUGACUUUGCUGGACCAUGUGAAGGAGUGUGUACUUAUCUUCAUCCCAGAUCUCAUCUGGAUGAAAACUAUGAUGAUGAACUCAGGUAAAAUUCUGUUUAUUCUAACAUGGCCUUGAGAAAUGAUCACCUGGAGUCAGAAAAUAAAGGACCAACACAAAGGAUUGUGAAAAUUGGAGCACUGAUAGAUGUCCAACCUCCAUCAUUAGACAGAAGAUAAUGUUUAGGUUUUAAUAACUUUAAUCUCUCCC
rnacentral:lncRNA from 1 species